rnacentral:rRNA from 1 species
AGACUGUCAGGCUUGGGAUCGGGAGAGGUAUGAGGUACGUUCAGGGGUAGGGGUAAAAUCCUGUAAUCCUUGGGAGGACCACCGGUGGCGAAGGCGUCAUACUAGAACGAAUCCGACGGUGAGGGACGAAGCCCUAGGUCGCAAACGGGAUUAGAUACCCCGGUAGUCUAGGGUGUAAACGCUGCAGACUAGGUGUUGGAGGCCCUACGGGGCACCCAGUGCCCGAAGAGAAGUUGUUAAGUCUGCUACUUGGGGAGUACGUCCGCAAGGAUGAAACUUAAAGGAAUUGGCGGGGGAGCACCGCAAACCGGGAGGAGCGUGCGGUUUAAUUGGAUUCAACACCGGAAACUCACCAAGGGAGACCAUCACAUGAAAGCCAGGCUAAUGACUUUGCUUGAUUCUUGGAGGAGAGGUGCAUGG